GAAUGCAUUGCAAAGAUCUAAUAACUAGUGCAAGUGAAAUAUUUUGUAGUAUUAAAGUGAAACUAAUAACAGUCAUUAUGGAUCAACACUGCUGCACUGAGGGACAAAUAUUCCAUUUGCUCUGAGGAUUGAGGAGUCUAAUUUUAUAGUUGGGAAAAUAAAGUUGCAACGGCUUUUUCCUGGAGUUUAUCAAGGUUGACAAGUGAAGUUUUAUGAAUAUGAUUUCUAUAUCAUCUCUUAAGGUUGCUGCAGUAAAUAUCCAUAAGACUGCAGGAAGAGUCAUCACCAGAGUCGAAAGGAAGAUGCCUGGGAGCCUGCAGUCGAAGUUUUAAGCAAACGUCACAGCAAAAACAGCCUUAAAAGAAGAGAAGACAAAAUGUAACCAAAGCUUACCAGACCACAGGAGGGUCAUCACCGGAGUCAGAAGGCGGACGCCCGGGAUCCUGCAGUCGGACUUGGGUCAUGCCCCAGCAUACGACAACACAG
rnacentral:lncRNA from 1 species